rnacentral:rRNA from 1 species
UGGGAAUAUUGCACAAUGGGCGCAAGCCUGAUGCAGCCAUGCCGCGUGUAUGAAGAAGGCCUUCGGGUUGUAAAGUACUUUCAGCAGUGAGGAAGGUGGUGCACUUAAUACCUGCAUCAUUUGACGUUAGCUGCAGAAGAAGCACCGGCUAACUCCGUGCCAGCAGCCGCGGUAAUA